GAAGAGCUCAAUUGGGAAGAAGAAAUUAAAUUUGAUCCAGGUAAAAGGAGAAGCAUAGAUGAGUACCAUCCGAAUCAGAGAGAUAUGGUAAGAAGGAAGUAUUUGGCCAAUGGCCCUUCUCAACCUCGUACUGCUGAUUUUGAAGUGACAGAAAUAUGUGGUAAAGAUAGAAGGUUCGUUCGGGAAUGGUUUGAUGAGUUUGAGAGCUGGACCGCGCAAGAAGAAAGAAGGUGGAUAUGAUGCAUUUGUUGCAAAUGGUUGGUCAAGUUGGAAUAAGAAAUAUAGAUUAAGGGAGCAUGUAGGAGACAUCAAUAGUGCUCACAACCAAGCAAAAAGAGAUUGUGAUGCUUUGCUGAAACAAAAG
rnacentral:rRNA from 1 species